CUGUUGCAUAUAUUCUCGUUUGUUCUAGCCAUUCGACCCAUCCCAUCUAGCGGGCUACUAGAGUUGCAUGUUGAGGCCUUAUUGAUGGGUUUGAGACGCAUAUAAAACAAAUAAACAUGGAUAAUCGCUAGUGGAAGGGCAGAUCUUUCUCUCUCGUUCACUUCCUCCAACAGCCAUAACUAGUCAUCAAAUCUUCCACAUCUUGUCUCAUUUCACAAGUUUAUUUGUUUUCAUUGCUCUUCCAUUCUUGCUUUCUUUAAAAAAUGUCUAUAUUAGUUUUUAGGCAAAAGAGUGACAGAGUUACUUUGUUCUCUACCCAGACCAUGCUCUUAGAAGAGAAGCAGAUUGUGCUGUGAGUGUUGUGCCUUGGGAGCAUCACUACUAACUCGCUUUCAUGAGGUCAGCAAAUAGAAGCUAAUAGGGCAGCAAUUACAUGCCUUGUCCUAGGCUAGGCAAUUUUUCCACCCUGUUGUUUCUCUUUCCCAUUGCUCAAUAUUGCAUGUUUAAUAUUAUUGUGAUUUCUUUCAACCAAAAAAAAAGGAAAAGGGUUUUCUAUUCGAUUCUAAUUUUCAUUCGUAAAGCUUUCAAAGUAAUAUUCUAAAUACUACUCCGAGCAACCGACCAACGGUCAAGCUAACCCACAUGCUACUUCCUCAUAGAAUUUCUCAAAAAGUUCUUCUUCAAGAAAUUUUAAGCCUGAAAUGCUAUCAAGAAAUCAGUCCCCAGCCUCCUACCUGCCCUUUUUCAUUAAUUGUAAUCUACGCAAUCCACACUAUUCUAUUAAGUUGUUCUUUCCUGCAUGCAAUCAUAUGCUAACCACGUCUUCAGAAUUUUAUGUCUUAACAUUGCUUUCUAUAUUUACUAUUUAGAUCAAAUGUUUUGCAAUCCUCUCAAUCAUCUAUAUCUCUUCGUUUUACUAAGAAGAUCCCUCCAAACACAGAAAUCUUUUCUUAUUGCAUUGCAAGCCAAGGGAUAGAAGAUGACAUUACAUAGAGCAUCUGGCCGACGUUGCCAUCCUCGGCAGGGGAUUCUGGGAGCUGGAUCGCGCUACGGCUAGAGGGAUUGUCGGUGACAAAGCCAAAGGGGUUGAAGGAGGGCGGGUCAUCCUCUCCUCCCUUCCCCCCCUUCUCAUCACCGCUGGCGUUAACAAUCAACGCUACUCUUCUUCUGGUCCCAUGGAGGAGUCCCCACGCCUUCGGGCCAUUGAGGGAAGCCGCCGAGGCCUCCUUGAUCGAGACAGGGAGGGCGAGAGGAGAAGGACAAGAGGAAGGGGAGCAGAGGAGUGGGGAAGCCAUGGCUUCUCGGGGUGGUGAUGGAAAUUAGAAGCCAGAAUUCGACCGUCGGCCUUCUGAUUGCCAACGGAUAGUUUUUUUACUCUCAUCUGAUUAGACCGCUGGAUUUUGAGUGGACACAAAAGGCUGGUUGGAUCGCGGCUUGCGGUUGGGAAAAGCAAGCGCUACCACACGCCCAGUGGCCUUUUUAGCCUCGUGAAUUGUGACGGAGGGCUACGCCGUAUCUCGGACAUCCGGGUAAUGAAACGGAACGAGAUAUUAACCCUC
rnacentral:lncRNA from 1 species